rnacentral:lncRNA from 1 species
AACCAGCAAAGAAGAGCAGCAGCUCGCCGAGGACCACCGUCGCCCGUCCCGCCGCCGCACCGGAGCCGAACCGCCCGCGACGCCCGCCCGCACAACGCUGCGCGUUCCGCUGGCCAUCCCUCGCGCCAGGCGUGCUCCCCCGCGCGAUCCAGCUGCUACCCAUCCUCUGUCCAGCUCCGUUCGGCCACCUCCGGCCACCGUGGGCCACCGCUUGGCCUCGCCAAGCCACCACCCGCUCUCUCGACCUCUUGCCGCCCCCAACCCUCUCUCUUUCUUGCUGUUUUGUGGCCGAACCAGCAAACCCACGGAGUGGGUAUCCAGCUGUUCGUGGGCCGUUUUGGGCCGUUUCCCGGCCCCGAACCCGAGCCGUGCUUUGGGGACAAUCGUUCCUCGCGUCGCCGCCGUCGGAUUGAUCCGAUUUGCGCGCGAUUUGGUGAGUAAUUUCACUAAUUCUGGAUUAGUUGGCUAAUUAUGCUUAAGGUUGGUUUAGUUUUAAUUAAUUAUGUUUAAGUUGUUAGAUUAGAAUAAAUUAACAAUUAUUAGUCAAUUGUGAUAUGAUUUAGAUAAAUUGAUUGUGCAAUUAACAAGUAGACGUGGUCUACUAUUUAUUGGAAGUAUCUGGGGAAUUUUCCGACCCCUAAUCGGGCUUCAAUUUGGCGAUUUGGGCCUAAGUAAGAUUUUUGGGCAUUUAAAUAUUAAUUUUCGGAAUUUAAUUAAAUAAUUAUUUAUUUUCCGAAAAUUCAAGGGAGAUGGUCUGGAACCGGAAUAUUAUGCGGAUGACUGUGGUGAAGUCUGUUUAUUUAAUCGGGCUUUAUUUUGAGCUAAAUUUAAUUUUUAAUAUUAAUUAUUUAAUUUUUGAAAUUAAUUAAUUAAUUAUUUAUUUCCUGAAAAUUCAACUGGGAUGGCCCGUGACUGGAAAAUUAUGCUGAUGACCGUGGUGAAGUCCGUUUAUUUAAUUGGGCCUUAUUUUGAGCUAAACGGAAUUUUAAUGUUUAAUAAUUAAUUUUCGAAAUUAAUUAAUAAUUAAUUAUUUUUCGGAAAUUAAGUUUGAGAUGGCCGACGACCGAAAUCUCGUGCUAAUCGUCGUGGCGCAGUCCGUUUAUUUAAUUAAGCUUUAAAUUGUGCUGAAUUGAUUUAAUUGUGGAUAAUUACUUUAGAAAUGGGAUGAAUCAUCAUGAACGGCACGGGGCUUGAUGAUUAGAUAUAUCACCUCAGAGAAUGCACAUGGCUCAGUGACGAAGUAUGUCGCCUUGGAGAAUGCAUGUGGCUCGGUGAUUAAGUUUGGCAUCUAAAAGGACACGUGGGCUCGGUAAAUUGAUGCAUUACCUCGGAGAAUGCACGUGGUCCGAAUGAGUACAUUUGGCAUCUAAAAGGACACGUGGGCUCGGUAAUUUGAUGCAUUACCUCGGAGAAUGCACGUGGUCCCAAUGAGUACAUUUGGCAUCUUGAAGAGACACGUGGGCUCGGUGACUUGAUGCAUCGCCUCGGAGAAUGCACGUGGGCUCGCUGAUUCAAAUUGGCAUUAAAGGGCACGUGGGCUCGGUAAAGUAAUGCAUUACCUCGGAGAAUGCACGUGGCUCGGUUAUUGGUUUUGUUAAUUGAGUCUGAAUAGCAAUAGCUUGAAUGACCAGGAAAUGGUCAGGCUCACAUGUAAUCGACUAGGUCGAUUGAUCAUUGAUUUGAUUUGACGUCGAGAAUUGAUUGACUGAUUAGAAAUGACCGUGAGUGGUCUUGUUGGCAUUUAAUCGACUAGGUCGAUUUGAUCGAUGCUUCGAUCAGUGAUAUGAUUGCUUGGGUGCCUAUUAUGAAUUGUACUGACUUGCAGGUGGGAUAUGAGGCCAAGGUACGUCUUCUGCCCUAUGCGUGUAGAGGCAGCCUAUAGUAUAAUAGUUUACUAAUUGGGCUUAGUGGGGUAGAAUUCGCUGAGACGUAGUCUCAUCCCAGUUUGGGGAAAAACAUUUCAGGACCCCGAUGAGGAGCUGAGGAGGAGUCUAAGAAGGAGAACUCGGAGGUGAAACUUAAAGAGAAAGAUUUUUGGAAGAAGAAGAUAAUCCCGAGAGGGGCCUUAAGUAUGGCCUGGAUGGGCUGAAAGUCUAUCUUCUUUUGAGAAUUUCUUUUGAAGUGAAUAGUUAUGAAUUUGUUUGUGUUUUGUAUAAAAGUUUGGUUAUAUUUCAAUAUGAAAAAUAUGGC